GAAGCUCAGUUCGUAGAGCAUGAGACUCUUAAUCUCAGGGUUGUGGGUUCGAGCCCCACAUUGGACA